ACGCGAAAGUCCCCUUCGGGGGACGAGUAGAGUGGCGUCCGGGUGAGUAACACGUGAGUAAUUUGCCUUCGGGUGGGGAAUAACAGCCGGAAACGGCUGCUAAUACCGCAUGAUGCAGCGGCACCUCAUGGUGACAGUUGUUAAAGAGGGGGAUCCUUCGGGACCUCUCGCCUGAAGAGAAGCUCGCGGCAGAUUAGCUAGUUGGUAGGGUAACGGCCUACCAAGGCAACGAUCUGUAGCCGGCCUGAGAGGGCGGUCGGCCACACUGACACUGACACACGGGUCAGACUCCUACGGGAGGCAGCAGUCGGGAAUUUUGGGCAAUGGGCGAAAGCCUGACCCAGCAACGCCGCGUGAAGGAUGAAGUUUUUCGGAAUGUAAACUUCACAAGAAUGGGAAGAAUAAGUCGGGGUUAAUACCCCCGAUGAUGACGGUACCAUUUGUAAGCUCCGGCUAACUCCGUGCCAGCAGCCGCGGUAAUACGGGGGGAGCAAGCGUUGUUCGGAUUUACUGGGCGUAAAGGGCGCGUAGGCGGCGCAACAAGUCACUUGUGAAAUCUCCGGGCUUAACCCGGAGCGGUCAAGUGAUACUGUCGUGCUAGAGUGCGGAAGGGGCAACUGGAAUUCUCGGUGUAGCGGUGAAAUGCGUAGAUAUCGAGAGGAACACCUGCGGC
rnacentral:rRNA from 1 species